UACGUAGGGGGCCAGCGUUGUUCGGAAUUACUGGGCGUAAAGGGUUCGUAGGCGGUGCGGCAAGUUGGGAGUGAAAUCUCUGGGCUUAACCCAGAGGCUGCUUCCAAAACUGCUGUGCUUGAGUGUGGGAGAGGCGCGUGGAAUUGCAGGUGUAGCGGUGAAAUGCGUAGAUAUCUGCAGGAACACCCGUGGCGAAAGCGGCGCGCUGGACCACUACUGACGCUGAGGAGCGAAAGCGUGGGGAGCAAACAGG
rnacentral:rRNA from 1 species